rnacentral:rRNA from 1 species
UACGGGGGGAGCAAGCGUUGUUCGGAUUUACUGGGCGUAAAGGGCGCGUAGGCGGUCAGCACAAGUCAGUUGUGAAAUCUCCGGGCUUAACUCGGAAAGGUCAACUGAUACUGUGCGACUAGAGUGCAGAAGGGGCAACUGGAAUUCUCGGUGUAGCGGUGAAAUGCGUAGAUAUCGGAAGGAACGCCGGUGGCGAAAGCGAGCUGCUGGACCUUUUCUGACGCUGAUGCGCGAAAGCUAGGGGAGCAAACGGG